AAGAAGUUUCUAUUUUCUAAUAUUGUCCCUUUUGCUUCACUAAUUCUCUCUCUUGUAGGAAAAACUACGGUGGGUUUUGAAAGAGUCAGACAGUGCUGAUAUCUGACAAUAAUGCCUCCACUUGUAACAGUGUACUCAAUUCCCAUCAAGAUUUUGUAAGAGGAAAUGGGGCUCCAACCCUGUCUUUAGAAACCUGUUUAGAGGUUUAGUGUGUUUGGGUAUUUCCACAUUUGAAGAGCCAGUAAAAAGAAAGACUUGAGCAACCCAGGAGAAGUUAAAACUUCAUCAGGAUUGUUUCUAUCCAUCCCUUUGUAGUGAUCCUGCCUAUUCUCCUUGACAGCUCAUACUUUGUACCCAGUACUCUGAAUCAGAAGGACUUCUUUUUUUGUGCGUUCUUUAUGUUGGUUUCCAGUCUUAAAAGUGACUGAUUGACUCUGGAUCACUCACAUGUUUCUAAUUCCAUUUUAUCAAUCGUCUCAGGUAUUUAUUUGACAAAUGUUAUCUUUUUUCUGGGGGAGAAAAAAAAAACAAAGCCACUUUGAACAUGCAUUUUUGGAUUAGUGUUGACAGAAUUAUAGCUUCUUGCUUUUCAAGCAAGUGAUAACUCAGUAAAGAUCCCCAAAUUACAGCCGGGAGCCCCGUGGGUAACAGCUGAUCUGUCCUGAUUAGGUUGAGUCAACUUGUCAGACAUCAGAUUUGCUAGUUGUGUUAUCAGUCCGGAAGGCAAAGAUACAUCAGCACCAAAGCAAUUAAUGUCCAGUUAGAUCAGAGGGAGUUGUGUUUCCAGAAAACAGUACUACAUAUGAAAGAAUUUGUCAAAGGGUAAAACACCCAGGCUGUCACAAACGGAGUGAUAAUGGCUGAGCUCUCUCUGCUGUGAAUGGGGCAGGAUCAACCUAGUAUCCUUUGGUAAUUCACAGUAAUGCUGCUGAUAAACAUGAUGGAGAGAUCAAAUUACAGUCAAGUGCAUUGUAAAGCUACUAGUGAAUGAGGGUUCUUUUUGGGGUGACCUUUAUACAAUCUAAUGCUCUAACACAUUAAUCUUGGUAGCUAUCAGAGCCAUCAAGAUAAAUUUCACUUCCUGUACUAUUAAUUGUGGGGUUUUGGUUUUCUCUGUUUUUGCUCAGGUCUGUCCAUCAUUUUAUUUAUAUAGAGAAUAUUGCAUGUGUGCUGGUACAGACCACCCACUUCUUUGGUAUUUGCAAGUUUAGAAAGCUAUUUGGGGCUCAGGGAGGUUCAGUGGCUUGACUGUUGUCACCUAGUGUACUCAGGUCUUCCUGAUUCCAAGGCUGGCCCCCCAAUAACAAAAAUAGUAAUGAUGGGGACAAUUUAAAAAAUAAUAAUUAUUGGGGAAAUGUAGGUGGCUCAAUGGACUGAGAACUAGUCCUGGAGAUGGGAGAUCCAGGGUCCAAAUCUAGCCUCAGACUCUUGACCAGGGGCAAGUCAUUUUUAAACCCCUUUGUCUAGCCCUUACCCCUAACUGUUCUGCCUUACAACCAAUGGACAGUAUUAAUGCUAAGGCAUAAGGUAAGGGUUUAAAAAAUCAUUAUUUAAUGCCUCAUAUCUAUAUGGUUGCUAGGUGGUCCAGUGGAUAGAAAGCUAGACAUAGAGUCAGGAGGACUUUUCUUGAGUUCAAAUCCAGAUGAGACACUUACUAGCUGUAAGACCCUAGGUAAGUCACUUAGCCCCAUUUGCCUUAGUUUCCUCAUCUGGAAAACAAGCUAGAAAAGGAAAUAGCAAAAUACUCUAGUAUUUUUGCCAAGAAAACCCCAAAUGGGGUCAUGAAGAGUCAGAUACAAAACUGAGUAAGAGCACAUUUAUAUUGCACUAUAAAGUUUCUAAAAUACUUUUUAUAUAAUUUCUCAUCUAAUUCUCUCAGUAUUCCAAUGAAGAAGGUGUUAUCCCCAUAUUCCAGAUUAAAAAAAAAAAACAGAGAUCAGGGAGGUCAAGAGACUUGCCUGAUAUUACAACUAGUAAACACCUAAGUAAUCUUCCCUCACCAUCAAGUAGAGUAAAAGAUGUGUAGAAUAUCAUCCAAAUUGAGGACAGACAAUGACACAGGUAAAACGCAGUGGAACUGUCUAUUGGCUAUGGGAGAGGGGUGGGAGGAGGGGAGGGAAAGAACAUGAAUCAUGUAAGCAUGGAAAAAUAUUCUAAAUUAAUUAAUUAAAUAAAAAAUUUCAAAUUAUAAAAAAUUUGAGGAUAGAGAGCUGACCUAAAAACUGGAAAGACCUGGGUGCAAAUUCUGCCUCUGAUACACAUUGGUCAUGUGCCUCCAGGGCUGUUACAGCUUCUAAAUGUUCCAAGUAAACCUCUAAGAUGCUGAGUUACAGAGAAUGCACCAAACUUAUAUUGAUAGAACAUUAUCACCCACUCAGGAGUUUCCUUCACUCAUGAAAGAAAUCCUAAAUUCAGUCCCUAUCCUUAUUAAGAGGUGAAUUAUUUCAGACUGUUGCCAUUGUGUUUCUUUAGAGGCUGUACCUUUAUGUUUCAUUGGGUGAUUCUUACCUUUUUUUUUUCUGUAUUCGGGACCCCUUUGGCAGUUUGGUGAAGCCUAUAGGUCAUUCCCCAGAAUUAUAUUUUUACAUAAUUUAUGGAAAUGUUAGAGCUUAGUGAAAAUCCAAAUGUAUUUUUUCCCUGAAUCCAAAUUCAUAGACCCCACCUGACUGAAAUCUAUCCAUGGACCUCCAGGGCGUCCCAGUCGAGGACCUUUCAUUUAGACACCUGUUCCAUUGCUGUUAGGGGUUUUAGAAGUGUUUCAAAUAAGUUCUGAGUAUGAGAAAGCCAGACAAAGGUGGUCUACAGUGGUCUUUGUAAUUCUGUUAAAGCCCUGAUCAUGCCAUUUCCACUGGGUCAGGGGCUACCCAAUGACCCCUGGAUAAAGCUCCCUGGAGAAGACAUAUAUCCCUAUCUCCAGAAGCCCACAAGCUCCUCCAGGUGAGUGAGGUUAGAUGAGCAAUGAUCUCACAAGUCUCAGUUUUAGGGGAAGUCUCUGGGAGAUAAAUGAGUCCUGCAGGCUUAGCAAUUACUCUACCCUAAAAAGGCUGCCUGAUCAAUGGUGAAUAAUUUUGAACCGAGCAAUAAUCCAUCCUUGGUGAUUUCUUCCAAGGCAUAGACACGGCUAACUUUGAGUUAUCUUUGUUUAUGCUUCUCUGCUUUGUUAGAGAAUCCAUUGAGGUCUGCAUAAGAAUGGAGAAUUAUGGCAGAAAAUAUCCCAAGAAACCACAUUCUUCUCUUCUCCCUGCUUGCUCUCUCCCUCCCUCCCUUUUCCCUCCCUCUAUCUCUCCCUCUCCCUCUCUCUCUCUCUCUCUCUCUCUCUCUCUCUCUCUCUCUCUCUCUCUCUCUCUCUCUCUCUCUCUCUCUCUCUUCCUCUACCCCCUUCUCCACUACCCCCAUCCUUCCGUUUGAGGGAGACUGUUUAAGAUCCUAUAUCCUUGUUAAAAAGUCAAUUCUAGACUAUCAUCCAUUGUUGCCCAGGUUUCUUUGUUUCUUGGAGCCAAAAUAUUUCCAGAACAGAGGAAAGAAACAAGAAUGAUUGACAGCCCAUAGCUGAGCCUCUUCAGCUGCUGGGCUGACAGCCUGGUGACGUGCACACUGGGCUGAUGUGGUGGGGAGUGACAGCUGAUUGACAGCCCCAGACUGUGGAGACAGGAAAGAUGAAGCAUGCUCAGUAAGAAGAACGUGCAGGGUUUAUGCAACACUGCAGAGCCGGAACAUUAACCCAUUCGAAAUCCGGUGCCACUGUAGAAAUGGUAAGAGAGCCAGCUGCCUGUCACUGGCCUGCAAAGGGAAGCUUGUCUCCCUUGUCUGCUAAUUAGCUGAGUGCUUUGUAUUUAUGAAGGAAAAUAGUUGUGGCAAGGAAAAUAAGGAGCCAUUAUUAUAUUUGUAAGUAUAACAAAUGACCCAAAUUAUAUUGCUGCUAGGCAGUAAUGAAUGCUCCAGAUGAGGGUUUUUUUUGGCAAUACCAGAAAAGGUUUGACUUGUGACUUGGGGCAUUCAGGUUACCAAAUGUCACUUCUGUAAAACUAGAAACUCUGAACAAUUGUGGAAUUCUCAGAAAGAUCGAUCCAUCUGUCCUUAGAGGAAUGUCCAGUGAGCUCUCAUUCGUUUCUGGCAUCACUUUGAAUAAUUCCCUGUGUAAUUGUAUGAUCUGUUCUUUAAAAAAUAAAAUUACCCGGGUACAGUGAUUGAGGUAAUGAUUACAUCUCAGAGGAUUAUUGCUGCUUUCCUUCACAGAGCUCACACAUACUGAUUUUGCACUUAUCCCUACCCCUAAUCAACAGUUUCUCCUCCCCCCCUAUCCUUUCAUCCCAGCUCACCCCCAAAAGGAUAAGGAAGUAGAGGAAAAAGGAAAAGGGUUCAGUGACUCCUCACUCCUACAUACACAUACACUUAUUUCCUCGACACAAAUUCAGUCCUUUGUCCCUCAAAAGCUGAUGGAGUGACUGACUGACUUCUGUGUCUGUCGACAUAAUUCUCCUAUGUGACUAGUCUUACUCUGCCCAAAUCUGGAAUGCCCUUCAGCUAUCAUCUAGUCCUGACUCUUUGUGAUUAAAAGAGCAAGUUGAGGUCCCUUAGAUGAUAAAGUGCCUUGGAUCUUCUUAUAUGUGUUAUCUCCAUCUAUUAAAAUGUGAGGUCCUUAAGAACAAGAUCCUGUGUUCUUUGCUCUGUAUCAUCUGCACUUAACCCAAAUCCUAGCACCACCUUAAGCACUUAAUGAGAGCUCUUUUGUUCAUUCAUCUUUUGUUGACCAAAGUUACAAUGAUAAUAGGUAGCAAUGCCAAGACUCAAACCCAGGCUCUCUGACUUCCAAGUCUGGUGUGCUUUCUUCCUAUAAUAUGUUCCCUCUCUUAACUGUGUUAAAGUCAUAUUUCCAUUGGCUAAGGUUGCCAUCUGAUCUAGGGAAGCCAUCUUCCCUUUGUAUCAGAAAAUCUAUUUCGGCAAGAAAACUGAGAAUGAGGAUAGGACCUAGCUCAGGCCCAUCUCCAUCUGUAGCCAAGCAGGUAGAUGUAUAUAACUCUAAUACCAGAGAGGAAUUAGAAAUGAUCCAUCCCUACCUCAUGCUUUUAGAGAAGUUCAGAAAAAUGAAGGGAGUUAUGUGGCAGGGUUCUAACCCACAUCUCGUGACACCUAGGCAAGUGUUCUAUCUUUGCUGAGCAAAAAAAGGAAAAACAUGUACUCACCCAUUCACAUAUUUCCUGUGAUUUUUUCUUAUUGUUCAUCUUAUAUCUUUUUGUGGAGAGGAGUUAUUUAUUUUUAAGUAAGUUUUUAUUUUCCCCGUUAUCUUUCCCCUCUACCUUCCAGAGAUCAAACUAUUUAUAAAGAGGGAAAAAAUUAGCACAAUUGAUUGAUAUAUUGGAAAAGUACAAAAACAUGUUCAAUGUGUUCACUUUAUUUUAAAUAUGUUCAUCUUUUAUAUAUUUCAACUAACAAGCAUUUAUUUUAUCUCCUCACUCCCAUUUACACAAAAGGAAAUAGAGGCAGAAUGGCUAAGAAUAUGGACAAGACUACUAUGUUCAUGCAGGGAGUCUUAUGGCAAGACUUCUUCCAAUUAUGCAUUCAGUGUAUGCUUUUUCUAUCAUAGGAGUAGGAAAUUCUUCAUAGUAUAAAACACUUUCUGAAUCUUAAAAUGCUAUAUGUCAACUAUUAUUUAGAAUUGUGAUUAUUUCUUAAUUAUUCAUAAAAUGUUUUUCCACAUCCUUAAAUUUAGAACACAAAUAUCUUAAACAUGGAUUCUAUAUUCUAUAAUCAUUUAAAUUCCUGAAAGAUCACCAUAUAAGCUAGAAAGAGUUUGUUGUUCCCUUCGAGGAACACAGACUGUCAGCGCCCAGUGCUUGGACUUCUGUGUGCUCCUACUCUCACAUACAAGUGAGAUGUUCUUCGAGUCCUGAUCCAUUCUAGUUUUGUGGUAUUGUGCAUGUAGAAAAUCAUUGAGGAUGCCCAGCUCAGGAUGGAGUUGGCAGAUAUUUCCAAUCCUAGCCCUAGCUCCUUUGUAUUUUAGAAUCUAUUGGUUUGACAGAUAUUAUUUAGUGCUUGCUCUGUGCCUACUGCUUUGUGAAGAAUGGCAGUGAGAAAGAAGCCCACGACAUAGUGCUAAUUAGCUCAGAGACUAUACACUUUUCUGAGUGGUAGUUAUGAUUGAUAAACUACUUUGCAGAUGAUAUCUUUCCACCGUAGCCCGCCUGGAAUGCCAGCUGUGGGGGUCCCAACUAUUAACAUCUAAUAAAUGAGAUCAUAUUUGUGAAGUGGUUAGUACAGUGGCUGGCACAUAGUAAGUACCGAAUACAUACUUAUUCCCUUCCUCCUUUCUCAAAAUGCCCCUCUGGUAUCCAUCGGGAUGCAAAAAGUAGAAAGGAGAAAUGGGAAAGACAUUGGACAGUUGUGUUCUUUAGGGGAAUAGGUGAUUAAACUCCUUACAGGAGAGGAAGGGUUUGUAACAUUACAAAAUAACAGUUAAAAAGGGACUACAUUUCCCUCAACUGCUACUUGUUUUAAGUGGCUGACCAGCUGUGGCUAAUUUUGUAACCUGCGGUGAUUCUCAAAUUUAUCCAUCAUGCUUCAUGAAGUCAUCUAUUUGUGUGGAGCUGGUUAAAUUUAGGGAGGGAUUCCCUUUGCUUUUUUGAGGGAAGUCCUCCCUAAAUUGAACCAAUUUAACCAACUCUUUUAUAAUAGGUGACUCCCAGGAAUUAUGUCUUAGGGGGGCUUGCUAUUUUUGCCCCCUUCUAAAAUAUCCCCUAGAAUUAUAAUACAGGUACAAUCCAGACCAAAUUGCUUGCCAGCUUAAGGAGGGAGAGAGAUAAUUUGGAUCAUAUAAUUUGGGAAAACUUAUAUGGAAAUUUGUUGUUACAUGUAAUAGGUAAAAAUAAAACAUCUUUAUAAAUAAAAUAAAAUGAAAAGUAAAUAAAUAAAAUAUUGCCCAGAAAGAGCACUGGCAGUAUCCCCAGUACCUUCAUACCCAUACUAACUAAAGGACCCCUUAUCAUUUCUCUGUGGUUGCUAAGAAGAAAAUUUCAUCUGCCAAAAGGCAAUAAGUAUAAAAGAGUUUGGGGGAGCAUGAUAUCUCUCUUGCUUCCGUUCUUUUUCUACAUCCCAAUUAUCAAGCGUCAUUAGGUAUUUUGAAGAAUAGCAAAUCAGCAUCUCUUUGGGAUCCUCUUAAACAUUUUAUUUUUCCCCUUUAUGUUUUCUUUUCCCACAUCCCCCUUUCCAUUAGCUCUCACAGUACCGCAGCGCUUACUAAAUUCUUCAGUUUUGCUUCCUAAUAUGUGUUUUUAUGUAUUGUGUAUAUGGACCUAUUCCCCUAAGGUAGAGAGAUUGCCCAAGCCACAGAAGCCUCCGGAUCUCUGGUUACUGUUUUUCUCUAACCUUUUAUUGGUUCUCUUCUCACAGCUGGGUUGUUAUUGUGCUUGCUAUAGAGGGAUUCUGAAAGCAUUUUUCCCCUUUUUCUUUCUAUUUUUUUUCAUGUUGUAUCACAUGAUCUUUAAAAGUCACAGGGAAAAAUACAGUUUGCUAAUAAAUAAAACGUGUCUCAGAACCCAUUUUGCUGCCCCCAUCUUCUGUCGCCUUCUUGAAAAGACCCGUACAAAAGGCCUGCAAGACAACACCCUAGCAAAGUAGCCUAAAGAUAGUGCUUUGUUAAGUUGGCCCUUCUAAUUCACCAUGGAGAGAAAAUCAUGCUUUAGUGUUUUAGGUCUGAGGGGUAGCUAACAGGUCAGCUAAAAGCAUUGGUAGAUUUUUAUUCAGAUCUGUUUUCAGACACUUUUUUGUUGGAGAUGUGUCACUACCACAUACAAGAUUUCCAAGUUUCCUUGUAAGUUUCAAGCUCAGUUGAGACGUGUUGAGGUCUGCUUCUAGCUAUUUGUGUUUUCUAUCAAUAAUUCCCCUCCUUCUGGUAUGAUCAGUGACUAUUCUGCACUGAAAUGUGUCUCUGCAUGGGCAUCUGGCAUUAGCACAUGCUGUAAAGGUUGGGGUCCAGCUCAUAUGGCACGUGGCAGGGAAACCAUGCUGUUUGUGGUCCACAUACUAAAUGUGCCUGAGGAUUUCACUUAUCCAAAGAAUAGCUUCUAGGAUCUGACUUUGAUAGUUAAGACCAAUGAGCUGGAACGGAAUUUCUGGUUGAAGUCUUUUACUUUAUAGAUGAAAAUUAUAAAUUAGCUCAUCUUUUCAAGGAUAUGACAACAACAAUAAUAAUAACAACUCAUAUUUCUAUCAUUCUUUAAGGCUUAAAUAGGACCUUGUUUAUGUUAUUUGAAUCUGACAAUAACCCUGUAACAUGAGUGCAAUUAUUAUCUCAAAUUAAUAGAUGAGGAAAUUAAGAAUAAAAAAUAUAUAGCUAAUAAUUAUCCCUAUUAGUAGUGUUUGGAACUAUUUGAAAUAGGCUUUCAAAAGGAAAGGAAGUUCAUUGUAAGAAUGAAGUAUUUCCUGUUAGUAGGUAUUAAACUUAAACCCUGAAAAUGCUUGAAAUGUGAGGCUAUGGCAGUCCCUUCCCAGAAAAAUUUUAGUAACAAGGACUGGAAUGAUUUAGAAGAUGCUUCCUGGGGCAGAGGGUGACACUAAAGGCCUUCUGGGUGACCCAGAACUAAAUUUCAAUGAUUCUACAAGUCAUACUGUUCAACUACACUCUUCAUUGUAUCAUUCAUUGGGAAUAUAGCAUCUAUAUUAUGCCUAAACCUUAGAGUACUAAACUAUGAUGGAAGGAAAAGUGGGGGGUGAGUGAAAAUAUUUGAUAGUUAAUUUUUUUUUUAUUUUCCCUAUUUAUCUUGAAUUUCAUCAGGGUCAGGAGCCCCAUUACACUGAAGAGAGCAUUCUUGUGAAAUUAAUAGCCAAACUGAAAGUACUAAGUAAAAAAUAUUUUUGGCUAAAGCCUGUAGUAAGUAUCCCAGACUAAUAAAUAUAUUGGCCGAAUUUUGAAUGGAAGAAAAUAGGUAAAUAAAAUUUCUUCCUCAUAUGUGGUUUUACUUUGAUAAAAUAAAGAAUUAUAAAUUGGUAUAACAUGAUUGGAAUAGGCAUUCCUUUUCCCUCUUCUAAUAAACAUGAUACCACUACUUCAUGUCUUUUGUGAACUUUUUUCUUUUUCUAAGGCAUUAAGAACUUGUCAUUUGAGAACCUGGAAAAAGCAACCUUUAUCCAGGAAAGAGAGAUCUUUCCUAAUACUGCUAAUAUAUGUUAUAUUAGUGUACAUAUAUAUAUAUAUGUGUGUGUGUGUGUGUGUGUGUGUGUGUGUGUGUGUGUAUGAUUGUCUUCUUUUUGGAUAUGAAAAAUUUGUCUUGCCAUCACUCAAUAUACAGCCCUCUAAUGAGGGCCUACUAUGUGCCAGGCACUGUGCUAAGAGGUAGAAUAAAGACAAAAUAGUGCCCAUUUUCAAAGAACUUGUAUUGCAUCUGUGGAGACAGAUAUAUCAAUAAGUAUAGACAUGGUAUGUAUUUUUUAAAAACUCAAGGUCAUUGGGGGAGGUACACUAGUAACUAGGAGAAUGAAAAAAGGCUUCCUGCCCAAGUUGAGUUUUGAAAGAAACAAGAGACUCUAAUGAGAUGGAGGAAAGUAGGGAGAUCAUCCCAGAUCUGAGCAAAGAUAGAGAUGGGAGAUGGAGGGUUAUGUGAGGAGAAGAAGAAGGCUAAGUUGUCAAAGGCUUUAGAAGCAAAACAGAGAACUUUAUAUUUCAUCUGGAGGCAAUAGGGAGCAACCAUUGUAAUCUGAAGGCUACUCCCUCAAAGGACUAACAUAAUCAGACCUACACUUUAGGAAAAUCACUGUACAGGCUGAUUGAACAUUGAAUUAAAGUAGAAACUUGAAGCAGGGAAAUCAAUGAGUAGAUAUUACAAAAGACCCAAGGAUCAACAUUUUUGUUGGGAUGAAAGGUCUUAUAUAUUUAGUUUAAGUUUAAAAAGUAGGGUUUAUGUUUCUUUUAUUCGAUGUCCUGGAAGUCCACUUGGGCAUCCCCAUUUAGUGCUUUUGACAAGUAUCAGGUAAAGGACAGGAAGUCUUUAAUCUUCAUCUCUGCCCAUUUUUUUAUGAGCUUCCAACAUCAUUUUCUCAGCUUUUCACCAUUACUACCCAGAUCUCCAUUCCAUUCUACUGAAGCCUCAGCCACCCAAAUUCAGUACAUGAGGAGGAAAUUUAAUAAUCCCUUUGUAUGAGUGUGAAAAAUGAAUCUUUGUGGAAAUAGCAACUAACCACAGAAAAUAAAUAAAACUCUUAAUUUUUUACAUGGAGUUCAUUUUUCUCUUUGUAGAGGCAGUUUGGUAGUACAGUGAAUGGGAGAGUUGGGCUUAAAAUCAGAAAGACCCAAAUUCAAAAUGGCCUUAGAUACUUGACCUCUGUCUCCUUCCAUUCUUUAAUUAUAAAAUGAGUACACAAUUUCCAAGAUUGUUGUGAGUAUCAAAUGAGAAUAAGUUUGUGAAGCCUAGGACACAGUGUUGCUUAACAAAUGUUUAUUGCCUCUCUAGUCCACUCUUGCUUCCCUCCUGUGCAUAAUCUAGCUAUACUGAUUCACAUUUUUAUUGUGACUCAGACCCACCUGAAUUGAAAGCUUACAUCUGUAUUACAGGUUACAGGGUCAUAGAUUUGGAGUUGGGAGGCAGUUUAGAGAUUUCCUUAAGAACUCACACUCCCCCGAAGUACAACAGAUGAAUGAGGUGAUGUGACUGGUUUGUGAUCAAUCUAAUUGGACCAUUGGGAGAGUUGAUCUAAAUGGCCGAUAGUAUCCAUUGAUUUGGCCCUAUGAUUAUAAAUGCCUUAAGAACAGUGGCCGUGUCAUACUUAGAUUUGAAUCUUGUCUUGAACCAAGCAUACUGUGUUAUUACAAAUAGUAUAUAUUUGAUGAGUGUUUGCUGAAUAAGUGAAUGAAUAAUUACUUCAAAUGUCUCAAUGACUAAUUCUGAUCAACUGGGAUCUUUAUAUUUUAGUCAUUAUCCCAAUACAACAGCAAAUUGACUGAAGCUCUUAAGUUGCCAGUCUCUGCCAGAGACAUUUCUCAUAAAGGACAAACCCUUUUGCUUCCAUUUAGGACCUCCUCCAAACUCCAUUUCUUUACCCCCAAAUUUGUAUUAUUGUUAUGAAAAUCUUAACUUCUUCUGACUUUUUUUAUACUAUUGGUUUCUAGAUAAGUUUUGCCUCUUGUUUUUGAAUGAUCUCCUUUCAGUAUAGUUCUAACUUUAUUAUAAAUGAGUGUAUCUUUGGCAUCUGAUUUUCAAGUUAAUGAGCAUCAUAUUCUUUAUUUCAUGUUUUCCUUAUGUGAGCAUACUUUGUUUAUCAAGAUUAGGUAAAAUAAAGUGUUUGUUUGAAGGAAUGUUAAAUUAUCAUCCUUCUCCAACUACAUUAAAUAUGUGUGGAGCUUGAUUUUAUUAAGUGUUUGUGGAGGCUACAUACCAGAAUUACCUAUCGGGGUACAUAUGUUUCAUAAUUUAUUGUUUAAUCAAGACAGUCUUAGUGGGUUAUUGGAAUUCAGGAGCUUACUGAAUUCUUUACCUUGAUGUAUUAAGCUUUUAUUAUUCAUUCUGGCAGAAUCACCUUCGCACUAUUAUUGUAUGUUUUAUGUUUGUUAUUUUCAUGAAGUUGGCCCUCACCCAAAUGUGAGCACAUUUUCAAAUGCUCAUUGAUAGGAAUUACCCUCAUGAAGUAUGCAACUUUGACUUUCUGAUGAGUCAAUAGGAUUUGAAGGAGAGAACAAUUCAUUCAAAAUAUACUUUGAAAAUAAUAAUUUAUAGGAGAAAAAGAGGGGGGAGAGAGAGGGAGAGGAAGAUGAAGAGAGAGAGAGAGAGAGAGAGAGAGAGAGAGAGAGAGAGAGAGAGAGAGAGAGAGAGAGAGAGAGAGAGAGAGAGAGAGAAGGAGAGGGAGAGAGAAGGAGAAGGAGAGGAAGAGGGAGAAGGAGAAAGAGAAAGAGAAGAGUGGGAGAGGAGAGGAGAGGCCAGGAAGCUUGAAAUGAAGGACAUCUCUUUAAGUCCCAAUACAAUUGCUCACUUAAACAUUUCAAGAUGAUGUUGGUAUUAACCAAUGACAAAAAGAUUAUUAAAUCAGUUUUACUGAACUUUAAAAAAGCACCUUUUAUUUAUCUCCCCCUUUGAAAAAAUCUGAAUGGCAUAUUGAUCAUCUCUUACUGUUUUCAUUAGAAAGGUGCAUCAUCUGCAGUGUCAGAAUAGGUUAGCUACGCUGGAAACAAUGAAAAAAGAUACUCUCAGAAUCAAAUUAAAGCAAAAAUUAUACUGUGCGUAUACUUUUCCUACCUUAUGAGCCUAUAGACACAUGGGGGUAUCUUUGUUUUAAAUGUAUAGCCAGGAGAAAAAAAAAAACUAAUCAAAGUCUCUUAGACAAAGGAUUAAUUUGUGAUAGAUUUAUUUGUGUCUUUUAAUUACCUGUAUAAACAUCAUUUUGGAAAUGCCUCAAGAAUUGUACUUACAUACUGCUACCUGAGAGAAGUGCUUGCCUGUGUAAAACUGUCUUUGUUGAAAAGGCUUAUUAUGCAAGUGAUUUGAAGUCUUGCUAUCAUUUGUUAAAGUCAAGUGUGUUGAUGCAGUUUGCUACCAGGGCAUUCACUGAAGUUUAACUUGAAUGAUUUAAAAAAAAAGUUAAUAAUGAUCAACUUUUUUCAAGGUUACUGGCAUAAUAAAAUUUGAAGAUUCUCAUGCAUAUUUACUUUCUUUCAAAGUGAACAGAAUAGAAAAGAUAAACAGCAUUUGAUUGAUUAUAUAAGUAAACCACUAAUUAUAGCCUUAAUAAUUCUCUACUCUAUUAGACGCCCGUGCUCGAAUAUAUUUCAUAUAAAAGCUUCAGUACUUAAAACUCUAUUUUUUUAAAAAGAUGGGCCAAAAAUCAGUAAUUACAAGAGUUAUUAUUCAGGUUCACAGCAGUGCAGUAGCUAUUUUUCACUUGAUAAUUACCUUGUUAAACUAAUGUCAGACCAGCGCCAUGCCUUAUUUAAGAAAAUGGUCCACCAAUCCUGUGGAAGCAGACACAGCUGUGGAAAUAUUAAAAGAUUUAUUAAAUCCAGGCCUAUCUCCAGUAUUGCCUCAUCAACAUUUGUUAAGGAAGUUCUGAAAAGUUUUGGAUUUCUCAUUAGGCAUUUUCAGCAUCUUUCCCAAGGCUCCAUUGGCUCCCCUGACAAUCCUGGCUUCAAAUGUACUUCCUUCUUAGUAGCUCCAGGCUUAUUCUUCAACCCAAGCACCAUUUAAUUGGCAGGAUCUGCAUGAAUUGCAUACAGAGCCUACGGGAAUGGAAACCAGGAAAGAUGACCAGUCCCUUGAGGAAUAUAGGAUAUAUAUUAUACCAUCUUCCUUUUGAAAAAUAAUGUUAUUUCAUACUUUUUCCUUUUUAGAAUUUAAGAGAAAAUUAAAUCCUUUAAAUGCCCUCAAAUGUAAGAGGCCAGAGUUGGGAAAUAGAGAUCCUGACCUACUUUGAGGAUCUACUUUCCAAAACUAAGGAAUGGAGAAGGAGAAAUCACAUCUUCUAAACCCUGUCAUUUUACAAAAGCAGAAGCAGAGGCAAAGGGAGCAUAAAAAAUCUUGUUCAGGGCACACAGAGUAGAUCAGCAUCACAGAAAUUCAACUGAAAAGAACCACAGAGAGCAUCUAGUCCAACUCAUAUUUUAGUAGCAAUCUUUUCUACAAUAUUCUACAUACAAGUAAUCUUCUGGCACCCACUUAAAGUCUUAGGAAAAACCUGGAAGAGAUAGAAUUUGAAACCAAAUGAAGUCAAAUAUCUCAUGGAGAAUAUCUUUAUUUAAAUAAUAUCACAUGAAUCAGAUAUUUUCAUUCAUUCAUUCCAUAAACAUUUAUUAAGACUUCCCUGGAUUUCUUUAAGUUCCAAAAAAAUACUACCUUCUGCAGGACGCCUUCCUUAAACUCUCUUAAUUCCAUAGCUUUCUCUCUUUUAAUUUUUCCCAUUUAUCCUGUAUCUAGCUUUCUUUGGAUAUAUUUAUUUGUGUGCUCUCUCCUCCAUUAGAUUAUAAACUCCUUGAGGGCUGGACCUAUUUUUUUCCUCUUUUUUUAAAUUUUAUCCCCAACACAUAGCACAGUGCCUGACACAUUGUAGGUGCUUAAUAUAUGUUGAUUGAAUUCAACUAAGUACCUAAUUUGUGUUAUUAUGAUGUAUAUGAUCUAUUUAUAUUAUGUUAUGUUUUAGUAAAGGGAGGUAAGACAUAUACAUAGUCAAAUUUUGAUAUAAAGUAGGUGGAUAAGUUCUCUGUGUCUGGCCAAGAAAGAAAUCCUGUUUAGCUAAGCUAGGAAAAUCAGGGAAGGACUGAAGUAGGUGACAUGCUAUGUCAAAAGGUAUGAGAUGAUGAUUCUAAGCAUUAGGGAGAAAAGUGAAGAAAAGCAGGAAAACAUGGGACAUAUUUGGAGAAAAGGAAAUAAUCCACUUGGGCUAGCUAUCAAGGUCAUAUUGUAAGAUAAGGCUUAGAAAGACGGAUUGGAGCUGAACUGUAAAGAUCCUUGAGCAACACUCCAAAGAUUAAAUUAGUGGUUCCAUGUAUUUAUUCAUAAAUUAAACCAUGAAGUGAUCUCUGUGGAGAGUGAAGUUCUCAAUUUUUGCUGCAAAAAAAAAAUCUGAUUCUCUUUUUUAUAUAUUUCCUGACAUUUUUUUUACAUUUGUUGUUUUUAAUUGCACAGUGAUCUCACAUUAUAUUAUUAUACUGCAUUUUUUUAAACCAUCCACUGGUGACUGGACAGAAAGAUUGUCACCAGUAAAUUCUCUGAAGGCAGGAUCCAGUGUCUUUGAUAUAUAGAUUUAGAUCUAAAUACUGAAAAUAGAGAUAUGGUUAAAACUAUAUAUAUAUAUAUAUAUAUAUAUAUAUGUACUUUUUCACUUAUUUUAUGAGGGGCAGUUAGGUAGUAUAGUGGAUAAAGUACUAGAUCUGGAGUCAAGAAGACUCAUCUUAAAUUCAAAUCCAACCUCAGAUACUUACUUUCCAUAGGAUGCUGGGAAAGUCCUUUAAUACUGUUUGCCUCAGUUUCCUCAUCUGUAAAAUGAGAUGGAGAAAGCUAUGACAAACCACUCCUGUAUCUUUGCCAAGGAAACCCCCAAAUGGUGUUAUGAAGGGUCACAUAUGACAGAAAUGUCUGAGCAGCAAUAACAAGUGUGUAUGUAUAUAUAUAUAUAUAUAUAUUCAUGUAUAUAUACACAUGUAUGUGUGAAUGUAGACAUCUGUAUGUAUGUACAACAUAAUACAGUGCUUAGCACAUACAAAGUGCUUACUGAUUAUUCUAUCUCUCUUCUCUGUCUGCCUACCCAUCUCUUUUAUGUGACAUUCAAGGCUUUUUAGGGUAUAACCCUAUUUUACUUUUUCUGCAUUUUAUUCCUUGUUCUUUAUUCUCUAGCCAACCAGACUUGACUACUUGCUCCUUCGUGAACCUAUCCUGUGGUUUCCUGCUCCGUCCUAGCCCUCAGAGUUCCUAGCCCUUAUUUUUCUUGUUCCUUCAUUUAUACUCAGCAGAAGUGCCUUGAGGUCCAGGAAUCUUUCAUUUUCUCUUUGUAUUUCUUCAUCUUUAGAAUAAGAGGUUCAGCUAAAAUGCUGAUGGCCCUCUGAUUCCUCUCCUUCACUAGACAUGACUUCUCUGGCCUCCAAACCAAUGAGUUCCUGCAUUUCUGACUGUGCUUUUCAAUCUUUACUUGGUAUUACAGUUAUUAUGGGCACGUUCCAUGGAAGCACGUUUUGUUAUUCUUUGUAUAACUUACAGUGUCUACCACAUGGUUGGCAUUAAUGCAUUCUUUUAAUUGAAUUUAUUUAAAUACAAAAUUAGGGGGCAGGUUAAAUAGUCAGCCAAACUGAGAAACCCUAGUAAAGUACAUAAAUGCGUGAAUUGGGCAAGUUAUCCACAUGGGCAGAGGAUAAUUAACAGUGAUUCACCUUUGGGGCGAAAAUAUCCAAAUUACUGCCGAGAACAACUAUUCCAUGGGCGGCUAAAACCUGAAAUGGAGGAAUGUCCCAGAAAAAUGAGGGGAUGUAUUAGUUGGGAAAAAAGCAUUAGCAUUAGACAAAAGGGAACAGGCCAUUUUCUCUCAGUAGAUGCAUAAAGAUCAUGAAUCAGUACCUAGCAUGCUGGUUCUAGCUGUGGGAACCAUAGACAGUCUUGAAGGACAAUCAAAAGACCAGCACAAAUGACUGAAGGCCUGGUGGGAUUGGUCCAUGGGAAAAGAACAAAAGGUAGCUAAGCAACUGUUCCAGGAGAAUGCAUCGCUUUAGACCUCUUGAAACCUUUCAAGCCCGCUAAUUGUGCAUUUGGAGUAAUGGUAACUGGGAGCAUUAACCAAAUGGGAAGAAAUGAAAGAAACAUUCAAACUGGAUAUCAAGGUGGAAAAAAUUCAACCUCCUCGUCAUCCACCCAACAUGAUAGAAUUGAAUUUUAAGGAAAUUUUAAUUUAAUUUAAUUUUUUAUUUUUUUAUUUUAAAUUUAAUUUAGGAAAAUUUAUUUUAAAAUUUAAUUUAAAGGAAAAUUUAAUUUAAAGUCGAACCAACUAUUAAUAAACCCCAUCCUGGCAUGAGGGGCAUGAUUGACCAUUCAGGAUGAAUCCAAUUAGCAAAUAUUUAUUGAGUGCUUAUUGUGUCUGUUGUCUUUGACUUGUCUAACUAUAGCAGUAAAACGUCUGGGACUCCAGUAAGUCAUCUGAAUCCAGCUGUUUUAUUGUGUUGGCUCUUUGAUAAUAAUCAUUCAUGAAUAAUAAUUCCUAUUUUAAAAUUAAAUUAAAAAUUUAAACAAUAAAUCUAAUUUUCAAUAAUAAUUCCUUUUGAGGCAGUUAGGUGGCUCAAUGGGUAGAGAGCCAGGUCUGGAGAUGGUAGGUCCUGAGUUCAAAUUUGAUCUCAGAUACUUUUUAGCUUUGAGACACUGGGUAAAUCACUUUACCUCCAUUGUCUAACUCUUCCUGCUCUGCUGCCUUGAAACCAAUAUACAGUAUUGAUUCUCAGAUAGAAGUUAAAGGUUUUUUUAAAAAUAAAAAGACCCUGCAUCUUUGGAUCUGCCAAAUAUAAUGCAUUUGUAUUAUUUUAAAAUUGGAGCACCAUCUUAAGUAAAGCUAUAAUGAGGGCAUACACCGAUCUAACCCCUUCCCAGUAUACACAGCAGGUUUCCUUACUUGAAUCCUAGAAGAUAGACAGCAUGAUCACUUUUCUCAUUUUCCUGUUCUGCUGAAAGGACAGUUGGGUAAUUCCUUCAAAUUACUGAUAAACAAAUGCAUUCUUGAUUCCUGCAGGAUGGGAAAAGGACAAUAGAACAGAUCCUGAAAGGAAUGAGUUGUAAAUGACUAAAUUCCCCCUCUUUUGGAUAGUUUGAUCAGGUAAUCAGAAUCCCAAGAAAUCUCAGAGAGCUAAAAUGAUAAGUCAAAUCUAUCAAUGAUGUUUAAUAAGGAUAGAUGGAAUUAUACAAUGAAAGAAUCUUAGAAUUAUUUCCUACCAAUUGCUCCUACCAGACUCUUAAAGAAUUAUCAUUCUGCCUUGACUUUAAGAUCCUUUUUGAAGGGAAAUAGUCUCUUAAUUGGGCAGCUGAUUCUAUUUCUGAACAGUUCUAAUCAUUACAAAAUUCUUCCUUAGAAUGAGAAAAAUCCUUUGCCUCUUGUAACAAGUUCCACCCAUUGACCCUCGGUUUGUCUUUGAGGGCUAAGCAGAUUCAGUCUAACUAUAGUCCUAUAUUUGAACCAUUCCUACUUUUCCCAACAUCUUCUCCAGAUCAUUUCAACUUGUUCAUGUACAGAGUGUUUUCACCAUCUUUAGCAUCCAUUUCUGUUCAGUUUAUGCCUUUCCUAACAUGACCUACCCAAAACUGAAAGCAAUGCUCCCAAAAUGAUAACCCCCAAAGUGAAAAUACAGUGGAAUUAUCAUUCUUCUACAGAUUUUACCUCUCUCAAUGCAGGACAGUUUUAAGUUUUAGGCUUCAGCUUUUUCAUGACCAGGAAUGUUAUUGACAUGAGUUUUUAGCAUCUCAAGGGCCUCAGAUCUUUUUUUGAUUUGCAUGAUUUUAUAGACAUUUCUGUUUCUCUGCUUAUCUUCUUUUUCACCUCUGGCCUGGGUUAAAUUUUAUCUCCUACUUUACUAGGAUGGAGGGAGGAAGACCCCCCCCCCAUAGUAACCUUUCUAUAAAACAACUAAACUUGAGUAGAGAGAAUUUGAGGAAUAUUACUUCUUCUUUGGGCCAUUUUUUUUCUUUUGGUUAAAACAAGUAUGUUGAACUAGUCAGCCACUAAAGUCUCUUUUAAUUUUUAAUCUAUACUCUUAUGAGAAUUCUUUGGGUACUCUGAACUGGAACUUUAAUUAAGAUUUAAUUCAAGGUAAGGCUAUCCUGAAUUUGCUUCUCAAACUUGAAGGUGGCUUUUUGUUGUUGUUUUUGGUUUCCCUUUUCUCUUAUUUUUAUUUUCUUUUUUUUCCCCAACAAUCUGAUAUCACAAUCUAUCAGUUGAUAGAACUCUUCUCUAAGUCCUCUGUUGAAGCUCCUAAUGCAAAAAGAUGGAUAAAACCCAGGGAAGUUUCUAACGUUGACCAAAGCAUAAGAUCUUAGAUUUAUUAGAUAUAAAAUGUAUAUAUUUGAAGAGUUCAUCUAGGCAGGUGGCAGGCAAUAUGAACUAAAUGGGAACCCUACACAUCCUUUUAUUCAUUAAUCUUUCACAUUUUUGAAACACUUUGAAGUUUUCAAAAUAUUUUCCUCACAAGAGUGGUGAAAUUAUUAUAUGGUGAAAACAUUAUAUGUGCAUAACUAAUAUAAAAUUCAAACCUGUUUUCUUCCUUCCAACUGAAUUCUUCUUCCACUAUACCAUUGCUACUUCAUUUAUUCAUUUACUUAUUCCAUUCAUUCCUUCAUUCAUCCAUGUAUUGAUUUGUUCAUUUAUUCAACAAAUACUUAGUGAGUGACUACAGUGUGCUCAACACUACAGGCAACUGAAUCUAUAAGGAUGUCUCAUAUUUUCUAUUUCUACUGUGUACUCUCUUAGUCCCCAAAGAAUUCUCAGACCAUGCAAAGACAAAAGCGCCUCUUACACAUUUGCCAUUAUUAAUCCCAGAUUUUCUCCAGCAAAAUCCAAAUUAUUUUUUAUGUACUGCACAGCUAAGAAUCAAAAGUAAUAAAACCUUGUAGGUUACUUCUAAUCUUCUGUAACAUAUCUGACUAUAUCACAUUAUAGCUGCAGAAAAGACAAUUUCUAUUUCAACAUUUCAACUUUUUAUAAUAAAGCUCUUGUUUUUAUGAAAAAUUAUCACAUUCACAUUCUCUAGUUACACUGCCACAAGUUUAGUAUGUGCCAAUGAUACCAUAUUUUGUUGAUGUUUUGGGAAAUUUUAUUCUAUUCUAUCUUGAGGAAAGUUUUUUUUUUCUUUAUAAAUUCAUUAUCCUUGAAGACUUUAAUGGAAUAGCAUCCUAGUAAGCUAAUGGGAUAUGUUUAACCAAAACCAGUCACUCAUAUUGAAGACUGACUCCAUAACCAAAUUCUCACAAACAAAACAGAGCCUACCAUUUGAGGCUAUUUCAAGGCCUCAGAAACUCUGCCAUUUCCAAAUAAUUGGCUUUAAAGAGAAAACAGUUCAUUAAUUUAUUAUUAUAAGUAAAUUAUUUGCAUUAUAAUUUUCUUUUUAAUUCUCAUUUCUAUUACCAUUUUACAUAUGAAUAUUUAAAUUUUUAAAAAUAUUUUAUCUUGCAUGUAGAUUUGCACAAUUUUUAAUUUUCAUUUUCUGAAAUUUUGCAAUCUAUGUUUUCUCCCUUGCUCUCACCUUUACCCCCUUCUCCACUCCCUCAAAUGCAGACAAUAUGAUGUAGGUUGUACAUAUAUUAUCACAUAAUAAUACAUAUUUCCUUAUUCAUCUUAAUGAGAAACAAGAUGUGUAUUUUCUACUCUAGAUCAAAAUAGACUCUUUUCUCUGGGAAAAGUGCUAGUUCUCUACCACCCAAAUUAACUUAUACUGAACUACUACAUACAUCCAUAGAUAUGUAUAUAGUAUGCAUUUGUAUUUGUCAUGUAUUUGUGUUUAUCAAUUUUAUAAUUGUGCUACCUAUUUAUGUCAUCCUGAUUAAAAUAUAAGCUUCUAGGGAGUUGGAUUUGUUUCUUUCUUGAUACUCAUAUCUCCAGCACAUAAACAUAAUGUUUGAUACAUAAUAGGUACUAAAUAAAUACUUUGAUGAUUGAAAAAGCAUUAAAUGUUCAGUGAAAGAUGUGAAUUUAACAUAAGAAAAAUCUCCCCUAGAAGUAGUUUGAUGCAGUAGAAAAACUUUGGAUUUGAAAGCAAAAGAUCUGACUUUUCUAUUGAGUACCCUCUAUUACCUUGGGUAAGUGAUUUAAACUCUUUGAGCCACUGUUUCCAAAUUUGUAACAUGAGGGGUAUGAAUUAUGUGACUUCUAGCUCUUUAGCUAUGUCCCUAAAUCCAAACUUAAGUCCAUGAGAGGUAGCAGUACUCAAUAUUGAAGUGGUCCGCUUUGGAUUCACUUCAGAUGAAAGGGAAAUGUUCAAAUAAUAGUAUUUAGAGCUGGAAGGAACCUGAGAAAUCAUUUUAUCCAACCACUUUAUUUUACAAAUAAAAGAGUCACAGCAGAGUGAUUCACUUAGCAAUACCCUGAGAGUAUUGUACUGGGGUUUGAACCCAGAUCCACUGAUUUUAAAUGUAGGGAUCUUUCCACUACCUCAUCCUGACAACUAAUGAGGAUUGAUAUUGAAAGCUCUUUGAAGACUUCCUAGGAUUUGGGGGUAGUGGGAACUGUGAUUGAGAAUAGGGGUCCAGUUCUGUGAUUUUAUUGGUAUAGGGAUCAUAUUACUGAAAGUCCUUCCUGUAUUCUGCAAUUCAUAUGUUGGCAGUUUUUUUGAGUUUUUUGGUGCCAAAAGAUUAAAUGACCAGCCCUUGGUCACACAGUUAUUCCUGUCUCCUCACCUACCAAAUCCUGUUGAAGGAACUAGAGUAGGUUAGUAAGUGAAGCUGAGAACUUCUUCAAAGUGGAAUUAGGAACACAAUCUUCCCUUAAUAAAAUUGGUUUGGUUCUAUAAAACUGUUAAUUUUGUACAGUUCAAACAAACAGGUGCAUUAUGGGUUAAAUACAUUUUGUGGGCUGGCCAGGGAACCCAACCACCAUGUAGAACAUUGUUUGUGUCAGAAAAUAUCUCAGAGUUCCAAACAACCAACUUAGAAAUGAACUUUUGGAACACAGCUCGCUUUUAAGUUGGGGGCCGCCUACAUUAUUAAUGUGUUGUUCCUUAAAUACGAAUCCACUCUUUGGAGAGUUUGUGCUUGGAGUUGUUUUCCAGUGCUGGUAAAGGAUUUGACCAGAGCCAUUCAUGCUCUAGGCUUCUUCUGAUGAAAAAAACAAAACAAAACAAAACAAACAAACAAAAAACAACCCAGGUAGGGUUAGUAGUACAGGCUGUUGUUAUGGAACAAAGUAAAACUAACUAGCAUAUGUUGGGGAAUCAGCCCUGUAACCUUGAUCUCGUUAGUAUUUUGUGCUAAGCAAGGGAAAGAAUGGAUGAAUAAUGAACCAUUGACCUUGCUGGCUUUGUUUCAUCUCCCUUAAGAAAUUUUCUAACUAAAAAUGAAAUAGGUAGAUAGAUAGACAGACAGACAGACAGACAGACAGAUAGACAGAUAGAGAUAGAUAGAUAGAUAGAUAGAUAGAUAGAUAGAUAGAUAGAUAGAUAGAUAGAUAGAUAGGAAAUAGAUAUGGUUUAGUAUUUGAGAGGAACUAAAACAAAUUAGUGUGAUAAUAUACUUAAGACAAACCUAGGUCUGCAGAUCUUAAAGUAGCAAUAAAAAGGUAGUCUUUUGCAGAUGCUGGCCAUUUCAUAGGGAAAAAAAUUAUAACAUCAAAGUAUUAUUGCAAUAAUGAGUAAAGAGAGAUUCUUUUGGCUUAUGCAAUUUUAAAUAGUAAUCACUUUGUUUCAUCUGUAAACUUAGAGAUUGUUAAAGUUGGAUACAACAUGAUAUAGUGGCAAGAGUGGAGGACUUGUUUGUAUCAAUAGAAGCAAGUUUGAAAAUUGACAGCCAUUUACUUCUAGUUGUAGAAGAUUAAAUUUGAUCUGUAAGAUCUCUCUAGCUCUAAAUCCUCUGAAGAAAUCACACUCAGUUCAAUGUCCUCAUUGAAUAGAUGAGGAAAUUGGGGUCUGCACCCAAGUCUCUUAUAUCAUAGUUUACCACUCUUUUCUGACUGAAAAUGGCAAAUUGGAGUCACUGAGGGCCUUGUUGACUGUUCAAAGCAUAAUUCAUUGAUGUUCUUACUCUCAGUGGGAUACUAGAAAAUACCCAAUUGGACUAAUGUUAAAAAAUUGUCUCUAUAUGUAAUUGGGGAAAAAAGGAAAUAUUAAAAAAAUACCCAAUUGAGAAAAAUAUUAAUUAACUUUGGGAAAUUUAAAGUUAGAGUAUUUCUUGGAGAUAAUCCAGUCAAGAGAUUCUUAAGUUUGUAUCUGUGGAAUUGUUUUUUAAACAUAUUUGAAAACUAUAUUCAAAUAUAAUUUUAUUUUUAAUUUUAUAUAUCUUAUUUUAUGAACUUAAAAAUACAAUUCUGAGAAGAGAUCCAUGGGCUUUGUCAGACUGUCAGAGAGGUCCAUGACACAUACCCACAAAAGUUAAGAAUCUCCAAGUUCAUCCAUUUCUUUCAUUUUGCAGAUUAGAAAACUGAGUUCUAAAGAGUUGCUAAAGAUGACAUAAGUAUUAAAUUGAAGAAGUCGCAUUUAAAUUCAAAUCAUCUAAAACUAACUCCAGGGUCCUUUCAGUCAGUUAAAUAAGUCAACAAGUAUUUAUUAAAUACCUACUAAAUGCCAGACACUGGCUAAAUACUGGAUAUAUAAAAAUAAGAAGGUAACAGUCCUUGCCUUCAAAGAGAUUACAUUCUACCACUUACCAUAAUGCCAUGCUGCAUCUUUCCUUUAACCAUUAUUCUCCCAUACGAAUCAAGUUUUCUUCUCUUUUUUUCUAAUAUCUAAAAAUGUAUCUAACCUCAGUCAAGUUCAUUUUCCCAAACAGUGACUCUAUUCUCUAACCAAAGGAACAAACCCAGCCAACUGCUGGCGUCCCCCAUUUCUUUCUCGUGAACUGGAAAACAUCCAUCAGAGGAAAGACACAGUUGUCAGGCCAAAAGUACACAGAGGCUUGUAAUUUUGUGAGUUGAAAAUGCAGGUUUCCGUUUUGUUUCAUUUAGAUGUUUGUUUGUUUUCCAGAUCCUCCACAAGGUUAAACUGCCAUGUGGCCCCAUGCUUAUAGAGUUCCAGUCUAUCCAUUGGUAUUACUGAGGUUUAAGUUGGUUUGUUUUCUAUUUCAAUAUUCUGAGAGAAAAAUCUCAACUCUUGGUCUCUUUUAUUCUUUGUAAAACAAAAUUCUCCUCUAUGGAUUACGCCUUGCCUCAUAUUUUCCAUUUUAACUUGCACAACUACACCUACAGUUGGUGAUAAGUUUUACAAGACAAUUUCCAUGCUAGCCAUGCUACCUAAAAUGCUAUUCUGGCCUUGCAUAAAAAUUAAACUUAUUAAUGAGUUAAAUUGGUAGAAAAAUGCACUGUGGUGAGACAACUGGUGACGUGAAUGAUGUAGGCUAAUAAUCAUAUGUUGCAUAGGAUAUGGGGCUGCUGUGGGUUUGGAAACCGUGACUAUAAAUGGUGGGCAGCCUUGUACUAAAAUCCACACUAAUGAAGAAACAUUUGAGACUCAGAAGGAAAUUAAAAAAAAAAAGAGUCCCUAUUAUUACCAUGAGUGCUGACGUGUGUGGUUCUUUACCUUUUUAGGACUUUGUGUUGGAAUGCAUAACUAAUAAUUGUAUUUGCAUUUGUAAAAGAAAAAUCCUGGUAAGUCACAAACCCUUUUUUCAAAGGCUAGGCUGGGGGUCUUGCAGAAAGCUGGCUUUCUUGAAACAACAGUUUAUUAGAGAGAGAGAGAGAUGCUUUCUAGUGUGUGUCAAGUUCACAUCGAUAAUAAGGCACAUUGGAAUUUGGGCACCAGAUGAUGGAUAGGUUAAAUUGUUGAUAGAAAAUGGUUUCUUAAGGAAUGGGUGCAGUUUGUUAUGGAAGCUCCAUAAAUUCCUGUUGAGAUUUUGUUUGAAUUUCAUCCAUAGCUGGAAGGCCAACUGGGUGGAUUUUGAAAAGCUUUGCCUCAAAGAGCUGAAAAAUUGCAUUGGUUUAUUUCUCUGCAACAGAACUAAAACAGGCAAAACUUGAUGGACAAACAAAGGCCUAAAAGAAUUUGAGAGGCCCCAAAGAGCCCAGACAAGUGCCAGACCCUAGAGGAAGCCAUGUGGGUGACUUGAUGGAGUAAUCUCAGAAGUCUUCCAAGCCUUUGACAUUUAAAAGACAAACCAAACAAAGUAAAAAAUAAAACAAAACAAAAACAUAACUCCAACUGACAGGCCUGAACAAAAUUAUGGAAUUGGUGAGGUUUGGCUUGGGAUCCUUAUCCCCACUUCCUCAUCUAUGCCUUUCAUUCCCUGUUCUGAAUCUCCCUCUCCCCAACUCCUUACUCCAUCAGUGCUUCCUUUAUGCUGGAGGACCAAAGUAUAAGUACAGUGAAUAAGGAUCCAUGUUCCAAUUUAGUCCUUUAUUUCUUACUCUAUGGAGGGUGAAGAGUUCCUUCAGGAACCUCCAUUUACAAAGGGCACCCAUGCCAGGCAACUCUUAAUUUCUCACCAGGCUAUACUUCUCCAGACUUCUCUAUCUUGCCCUUAUAAUUUCAUCAUUCUGAAAGAUCAUUUCAGCCCUGAAACUCAUACAUGGUUGGUACCCUUUGUUCUGAGCUCUUCCUCUGAAUGGAGAGUGGAGAGCUCCUUUCAGACCUUCGAUUCAUUUAAGGAAGGAGCUGUAAUGAUGGGGAGUAGGACAAAAGAACCUUUGGGGGGAAAUGGAAUGUUGAGAGCUCUACAGGUGUCCUACUCCCCAUCAUUAUUACAGAGCUCCUAAUUUCCUAAUUUCCCAUACAGAUACACUCUUCUGGCCUUACCCAUCAUGCUCUCACAUUCCUUCCUUCCCUUCUGAUCCCUUCUUUUUAUCUUUUGUGAAUUGCAUUCCUUCAUAAGAUUGCAAGAUCCCUGAAGGCAGGGGCUAUCCUUUUUUUUUUUAUUUCAUAUUUUUAUUUCGAGGCUAAUAGGGCUUAGCACAGUGCCUGGCCCAUAGGAGGUACUUAAUAAAUAUUUAGUGACAGAUUGACUGACAUUCAAGUUUCCAAUCCCUCUCCCUUCAGGUGAUAGCCUUAAAAGAUUAUCUGGUGGGCAGCUUGGUGGCUCAGUUCAUUGGGACCCUGGACCAAAGAUGAGAUAUCUUGGGUUCCAAAGUGAACUCAGACUGGGUGACCCUGGACCCAUUGCCUAGCCCUUGCUGCUUUUCUAUCUUGGAACCAAUACAUAGUAUUGAUUGUAAGAUGGAAGGUAGAAGUGUUUUUUUUUUAAUUAUCUCAAACUCCUAAUCAUUUCUUUGUAUUACCCUUAGAAUUCUAGUUUUCAAUCUGGAAGGGAUCACAGAAAUCAUUGAUCAGCUUCUCUCAUUUUAUAGACGAGGAAACUGAGACCAAGGGAGGUUUAGAGAUUUAUAUAUAGUAAGAAUCAGAAGUAGAAUUUGAGUCUGGAUCCUUCUCCAAAUCCAUUUCCCCCCAUUGUAACAUGCUUCUACCCUCACAGAGAUAUUUUCAUUCAAAAAAAAUUCUCCCUUAACUCAAAGGACUCACUAACUACUGAUACUAUUUCAGAUUUAUAUAUUAGUCUCUCUCAGGUAAGUGAUUAUUAGUUUUAUCUGUAAUGUUUUCCUUGGAGGGAAAUACAUAUACAUGUAUACACAUACACUCAUAUACACAUAUUAUACAUACACAUGUGUAUUAAUAUAUAUGUAUAUAUAUAUAUAUAUAUAUAUAUAUAUAUAUACACUGAGACAUACACAGUGGCUCACAAUUUGGCAGAGAAAUAGCCAUAAUUGUGAUGCACUUGAAAAAGCAUGAACUAUUAUUAUCUAGAAUGAUUAUGCAGAUGAAGCUGCAGUGGGAUAGAAUGCCCAAUUCCUGGGCUGUAAACAUCCUCAGCUAAAAGUGAUCUGUAGCCUCUCGGGUACAAUAAUAAAUUCUAUAGAUGCUGGGGUCUAUAAAGUUCUUUCCCUAACAUACUCAAGUUGAUAAUGGGGUAAUAAUACCCUAUUUUAAAGAACAGAAAACUUAGAGACAAAAUAACUUACCUAUGAUCAAAUAGCUAUUAAAUACCAGUCUUAUCUAGCAUUCCAAUCCAAGCCCCAUGAAUGAGAGAACCCCGCUACUUCUCUCUCUUAUAGCAUACUUUGUUGGUGUACUUAUCCUCUUAUUCUUGUAUUAUAUUUGCAUUAAUAGCUUAUCCCCCUCUCUUAGAUCAUAAACUCCUUGAAGACACAGAGUAUGCUUGAUUUAUAUUUCUAUAUCAUCCUCCCCACAAGCACAGGGUCUUGUACUUAGAGAUGCUUAGCCUAUUUUUGGAAUAGCCAAUAGACUUGCGUCCACUCUGUGCUGCCUCUACCAGAUUCCCCAGCUUCAGCUUCAGCUCCAACAUUUGGUUUUGUGAAUAUUAGAUCUAGCUUUUAUGCCACACCCAACCCUUAGUUCUCCGGAACCAGAUCAGGAAAGCGUUAUGGUGAUUGGGACAACUUCUGGAUUUGGGGUGACCUCCUACCCUGUCUGGCAGGCAGGCUCAACCCCUUGGAGAAGAUGAGAACAAAAUAAGUUUCUUUGUGACGUUACUUGCUUCUUUCCCAAAUGUUAGAGGUGUGUUUUUGUUGGCGUUUUGAAAAUUUUCAGCGAUGGGGAUUACCAGAAGCUGAGUGCAGUCCACAUCUCGGCUUUCUCUACCGAGGGGGGGGGGGGGGUAAUGGGGGGGUAGUGUUUCUCAAGGACUCUGGACUAGAUUGUGAGCGCAAAUAUUUGGAGGGGCUGGGAGGCUAUUCCCUGAUAUUAAACAGUGAUCCUCCCAGGCUCGUUCCCAAGGUGCUGAAAAUCAAUGAUGACGAUGAAACAUUUUGUUCGAUGUUAUUUUAGAAAAUCCCUAAUCAAAACAAGCAUAAGUGGCAAUGUGUGCUCAGUGGUAGAUUUUUGUGUGUUCCUUGGAAAGAUGAUAUUCCCUGGAGAGAGAGGAAAGGAUUAGAAAUGAUAACUCUCUAAAUACAGCAGUCUGAGUUUGUGUGUGUGUGUGUGUGUGUGUGUGUGUGUGUGUGUGUGUGUGUGUGUUUAUCAGCUUUACAGCAAAAGCUUCAUUUGAUUUGUGCAGGGAGGUGGAUAAUAAGGGGAGGCCAGUGAGCUGAUUUUUAUAGAGUCCGUUUGUAGCUUAAACAAAGAUCGGGGAUUUUGAGGAUAAAGACUGCCUGGAAUACAGCGGGAUUAGGCGGCUUUAUUUUUCAAAGAUUUGUUAAUUCCCUCCCCCCUGCUCCGCCCCUCCCCCCACCGAUGGAAGUGGGUUCAGGGAUUGUCAUUCACCAUGAAAACGGAAUUUUUAAAUAGAAUUUCUCACCGAACUAACUGAAACUCAGCUCUGUCACCUUGGCUGACCCUUUAGAAGCACGAAUGUGCCACACUUUAAAGAGUGGAUGGAGCGCAGUUAGGAUAAACAGAGACUGAAUUUAGGAGGCUUUAAUAUUAGAAAGUAGCGGUUGCAGCAAAGUAGAAAACAUGGCUUGGAUUGAGCCUGUUGAGAGUACAUGUUGGAGCUGUCAUUAUCUUUUAGAGUGUGUUUGUUAUAAGACCUCUCUUUUAUAAUCCUAGAAAGUAACUCCAUUGAGUAAGUAGCCUUAAAAUAAUUAUCCAAGAAAGCUUUUUCUCCUUUACAUAGCCAGCCAAAUAACUAUAGUCCAUUUUGAAAUUUUGUCUUCUUGCUUUGGAGACAAAAUGAUGUAUAAAAUAAACAAAUCUUGGACCUCUUCUUUUGCUGCCACUGGUUUGCUGUAUUAUUUAACCUAUUUGUGUGACAUUUUCUCUGUUGGUAAAAUAAGAAUCACAAUACCUGCUUCUUGCCUAAGUGGCAAUAACAUUGUAAAAAUGCAAUGGAUAGUGUCUAUAAGUGCUGGGUGACCCUCUUGGGGGAGAUUCUCUAUUGAUUCCUUAAUGAUUCAUUUAUUUCACAGGUAUUGAGUCUCGCUGAAACACCAUAUUCCAUAGAGGACAAAAUCUCUGCCUAUCUUAAUUUAAGAUUGCUAAUAAAUAUGAUGGGAAUCCAUUGAAAAGUGCUUGCAUGGCUCAGAAAAUAUAAAUGUUAAAUUGAUUCUCAGUUAACAAGGGAAUUGUACACACGAUUAACUCUUACUAAGUCAGAAAAAGGGGUGUAGCCCCAAGCUCAUGAAACUUUUAAAUAGGGUUAUUCCUAAAUGGUGAUGAAGGAGGUAUUGAAUUGGUAUAAACUGACUACAUAAAACCUACUGCAGAUCCAGUGGCUUUUUUUUUUUUUAGCCUGAUAGAGAAGUUUUAGUUUAUUGAUUUGGAAAUCCAUGUAGACCUCACAUUAUAUAGUACUUUGGGGCUAAUAAAUUUCUUUAUUUCAUACAUUAUAAGUUUUUGAUGUCUAACAGUUAGAGAGCCGAGGAGAGGAAGUUGAGAUUCAUUAUUUUUGUUCAAUAUACUCUCAAGGGAAAGGUUUCCGUUUGGUUCAGAGAAUAGUUUUCUGCUGUUUUUUUUUUUCUUGCCCCAUUCAUUUAUUUCAUUGACCAUAUUAAAACCUUAGUUAAUUGUAACUUAAUUCCAGAAUCCUCAAUUAGCUUUUUUGGGGGCGGAGGUGGCCAGAAUUUACCUUCUAUGGAAAAGGUGGAAAAUGACAAGAAAACAAACUGGAGUAGAGGAUUUAUUGAGGUCAGAGAUAGGGAAUAAACUUUAGACCAUGUUCUCUCUAGCUGCAGAACAGAUCAAACCCAAACUCCCACCCUUUAGGUGUUUAUAAGAUGUGACCACAAAGUUUGAAGGCUGGUUUUCAAACAAACAUAUCACAGCUCAUGUAUUUAGAUAAAUGUCAUCACUUUUGCAGGCUAUGCAAAUAUCCUAAUAUUCUGUUAUUGACCACACAGUACUUGUGCUCUCUAUAGUGGUGGAACUUUUUUCUUUUUGGAAGUGUGUUUGAUUUGAGUUCUACUGAGAACCAACUCUUUGUGAAUAAAAUGGAUGUUCAUGCUAUGUUGUACUGUUGGUGAAAAUGAUAUAGGAAUAUAAAUUACUUCUUCAUUGGGAAAGGAAUCUGGUUUUAUGUGAGGCUGAAAUUCUUAUAUAUAUAUUUUUUUUUUCUUCCUUUUCAAAAUUCACUUCCAGAUACCCAUUCUACCACUGUUAGCCCUUUUGAACUUAGCAAGUUUCUGAGAUAGAAAACCUGUUUCUAGGAUCUACUCAAAGGCUUUCCAGGAUGGCAGGACCUUCCAAAGCUUCUGUUCUCAUUCUCUUCAACUCUUGUCCAUGUUCUUCUCUACCAAAAGUCUCCUCAAUAAGUGGGAAACCUCUCUUUAAUUCCCUCAACAUUAUAGAAUACCAAUAGGUUAUCUGCUGAUUGUCCUUCAUUUUCGCUACCUGGCUACCUAUAUUUUUUCCAACUAUAUAUCUUCAUGAUGAUAUCAUUUAUGUUACUUCUAGACAUAUGUUUAAAUUAAUGGUUAGCUCAUUGGAAUAAGUGUGUGGUCUCAAAAGAAGACUACUUUGAAUGUUUGAGUUCUGGGUCAUUUGUUUAAAACAAAUUACCUUAAGAUGAUAACUCAUGUAAUGUUAUACAAUGGUCACUGAAUGAUGAGCUUGUAGUACUCGCUAAAUCCUCAGUCACUAAACAAAGAUUUGAUUAUGUUCACUGGACUGUAAAUAAUGGAUCAAGAAAACAGACUUUUUAAAGAAGGUUUUCAUCAAUUUGGUUCAAAACAAAAGGGAAUUUAAGAAACAAACAUUUAUUUGGUCUGACCUGCCAUUUUCUUGUCAUUAUAGAUUCAGCACAAAAGUGUGCUAUUUUCAGAUUGCAUGUUUGAUCAAGUUCCCCUUGGAGGCACCAGAAGUCUUCCCCAAAACUCUUUAAUAAAAUUAGCAGCCUAAUUAGAUGUUUUUAGGUGUGAUUUCUAAAGGUUGCUGCUUCUCGGAUCAAUGGAGGGAAGGAAUGGUAUGUUUUGAGCAGAAAAGGAAUUGUAAGUGAAGGCUGUUUGACAGUUUGUCAGGAAUGUUAUAGUGAGAAUUCUUGUUUAGGUAUGAAGUUGGUCAUUAAGAGCUCUUCCAACUAAAAUUCCAUGUGUUGGUGAAAAUGCCAGAACCACUACAAUAAAAACAACGUCCAAAACCAGAGAUGGGGGGAGCAGUGUGAAAAAGAAAGAAAGAAA